UCUAGCUUGCUAGAUUGAUGGCGAGUGGCGAACGGGUGAGUAAUACAUCGGAACGUGCCCUGUAGUGGGGGAUAACUAGUCGAAAGAUUAGCUAAUACCGCAUACGACCUGAGGGUGAAAGUGGGGGACCGCAAGGCCUCAUGCUAUAGGAGCGGCCGAUGUCUGAUUAGCUAGUUGGUGGGGUAAAGGCCCACCAAGGCGACGAUCAGUAGCUGGUCUGAGAGGACGAUCAGCCACACUGGGACUGAGACACGGCCCAGACUCCUACGGGAGGCAGCAGUGGGGAAUUUUGGACAAUGGGCGAAAGCCUGAUCCAGCAAUGCCGCGUGUGUGAAGAAGGCCUUCGGGUUGUAAAGCACUUUUGUCCGGAAAGAAAUGGCUCUGGUUAAUACCUGGGGUCGAUGACGGUACCGGAAGAAUAAGGACCGGCUAACUACGUGCCAGCAGCCGCGGUAAUACGUAGGGUCCAAGCGUUAAUCGGAAUUACUGGGCGUAAAGCGUGCGCAGGCGGUUGUGCAAGACCGAUGUGAAAUCCCCGAGCUUAACUUGGGAAUUGCAUUGGUGACUGCACGGCUAGAGUGUGUCAGAGGGGGGUAGAAUUCCACGUGUAGCAGUGAAAUGCGUAGAGAUGUGGAGGAAUACCGAUGGCGAAGGCAGCCCCCUGGGAUAACACUGACGCUCAUGCACGAAAGCGUGGGGAGCAAACAGGAUUAGAUACCCUGGUAGUCACGCCCUAAACGAUGUCAACUAGUUGUUGGGGAGUA
rnacentral:rRNA from 1 species